UUCAGGGGUAAACCUGAGAAACCCGAAAGGUCGAAAGGGGAGAUUCAGCGUGUCUCGAUCGUGGCGCUGGACGGUCGUGCGACGGACGGCGUACGCGUCGUCCGCGCCUUUCGUCCUCCGAACUGCGGUCGAACGCGUGCACUUCUCCCCCUGUAGGACGUCGCGAUUCGUUGGGUGUCGGCCUAAGGCUCGAGGUGGAGUUCGUCCGGACGUUUCGGCGUUCGUGACGAACCCUCGGUGUUUCCCGGUCGGCUCGCUCGACGAUAUACAGAUGGCGCGGGGCCGCUACGUUAGUUAGCGUUCGACCUUCGGCAAGCGCGCUCCUCGCGACGGUGAUCGGACCCGGUGCCGGUCCCGUCCCCGGGCGACUGUUGGCCGAGGUGUUCUCGAACAGACCUCGUUUUGAAACGCCGAUCUGCGACGCUAUAGCUUUGGGUACUUUC
rnacentral:rRNA from 3 species